UCGUAGUCGAAGUGUCCAACUAUAUUUCGAAAUACUUUUGACUUUUUUUUUUUUUAAUUUUUUUUUUCCUUAACGUGAUCCAUGGUCACUUUCAAAUAAAUUUUUUUUUUUCAACUGGCAUUUUUGCAAGUUGAAAUAAUUAAUUUUUUUUUCUUUAUUUUUUUUUCCAUGUAGUAAAUUACAAAAGUCAAAAGUAUUUUUUUUUUUAAUUAAAAAGUGUUAAUUAUUUAGACAGGUUUUCAAUGGAUUCCAACGACGGAAACUAUCGUUUUCUGAUGUCUUGACUGGAAGGAAGGAUGGAACUGAAACACACUGACCUACCUCAAGGAACUGCUAGUUGUCAUCCUACCAGCUGAUCAUCUGGCAUCGUUCGGCAGUGAAAUAAAGUUAUUUCCCUGUUGAGGUUUAAGUAUAGGAUUUGGAUGAUUUUUUCCCUAUAUCUUUGAUGACGUGUCUAAUCUAGAGUCCAAUGGAAUCUAUUGACAUGACUGGCCUACCAGGACCAGAAUAAUUUUGAGGACAGUGAUGUUGCUGAACAUCAAGGACAAGGUGUUGCCGAGCCAAGGACACACCGCUGCUUUUAAUUUUUUUUUCUGUUUCAGAUCCAGUCAACGAGAAUAAGGAUAUCCAUAGGUGCCAAGGAAUACCGAGACCAGGAGAAGGAGGACCAGGACCAGAAAGAAGAAUAAUUAUUAAUUGAUCAUUAAGAUUAAUAUUAUUAUUAUUAUUAUUAUUAUUAUUAUUAUUAUUAAUUAUAAAUUUAGUUUAAGAUUAAUUGUAUUUAGUUUUAAAUUAUUAUUUUAUACAGGUGUGAGUGUGAUGAAUGAUAUUAGAAUAAUUUAUAAUUUAAGAAUUUAAUUUAUAUUUUUAUAGAGUGAGAAUGUUUUCGAGUGGCAUGUAUCUUUUGCAUUUUUCGCAUGGUGCUUGCGUGUUUUGCUUUUUUUUUUUUUUGAUUUCUUUUUAUUGCAUGGUUUUGGGUAGUUUGUCUUUUAUUUUAAUUUCCUUUUUUUCCUUUAUCCUUCUAGGUCUUAAUUAUAAGUAUGAAUGAAUGUAAUUUAAUUUACCUAUAAGCAUGAAAUGAAUGGAUUGUAUGUAAAUUUUUAUUGCUUUGUGAUCAUACCCGAAUAUUAUUUAUAAGCGUAUGGAGUGUGUGUGAUAUUAAGUACUGUGUGAUCAGACCUGAAUGUUACUAUUAAGGCUUAAUUUUAAGGAAUUUUAUUUAUGAAAAUUUAUUGUUUUUUUUUUUUUUUUUAUAUGUAUUUAUUUUAUAAUUGUUUAAUGUAUGAAAUUUUGUAUUUAGUUUUAUUUAGCUUUUUUUUGGUCACCAAUCGAGUGAUCACUGUGUUGGUCGGGUUUUUUCACUGGUAAAAUCCUCCGAUUUAAACCGAUAGAUUCCGGGUCUAUCGGAUUUUUAUCGGAGUAUUUUAUCGGUGUUGAGGUUUCCCAAACGGGCUAUUUUCUUUCUAACAAAAGAAAAUAGCCUAGACCAGUACAAUUGUAUUUCUAAACAAAUACAAUUGUAGGUGAAUGCGCACAGUAUAGGAAGUCGG